GCCAGCGUGGUGUAGUGGUUGAAUGUUGGGCUAUAACUCUGGAGACCAGGAUUCAAUUCCCAGCUCAGCCA